rnacentral:lncRNA from 1 species
AUGAUGGAGAUUGAAGGAAAAUAUUACUUACACAAUGCGCUGAGGAUUCCAGAGGAUAGAAUAGGUGUGAAAGUCAGCAGCGGGGUCAAACCAGAGGUGAAAUUGUUGCUCUCUGUCACCUUUGCCAUUUGUAAAGACAUUGGUAUGAAGAGUGUAAGGGUCACCACUUAAAUUUCCCAAGAAUUCAAAGUCUAUCUCAUCCCAUGUUGAUCCCGGUGAUUUUAGCUGCAUUAAAAAAAAAAAAAAACAGAUAUUUAUAUGUAUCAUCACAUAUGAUUAUUCAACUACGACCCAGUUUGCAUGCAUAAUACUUGCGUAUGAUUAAGUUGUAUUAAAAGAAGGAACUUACGUAAUAAGCAGUGACAGUGCCAGCAGAGUUGCCUGGGACAAGCUUGAGCUGCAUGUCAAUCUUGCCGUAUAGAUACUCAUUCUUGGACUGGAAUCCUGAGCCAGAAGCUUUAUCGAGGGAAAGAGUAAGAAGGUCGCCAUUGUUGAGCAUCUUGGCACGGCCAUCUCCCCAGGUGAUGUCAAAAUCUUUGUAGAAGUUACCAGCAGAUGCAACCAUCAAAGAGCCAAGCACAAGAAACAAAUGCAACGUUGAAGCCAUUGACAUAUGCUUGAGCAAACGAGGUACAAGUAGUGUUUGAAUUAACUGAGAGAAGUUUGUAAUUCGAAAGUGGAGCGAUGAAUGUGUUUAAGACCAUUGUGUUGUAUUUAUAGCCGGUGAAGAUGGGAAAUGUAAAAUGCAGAGGAAAGUGAAGGGAAAGGUCCAGUGAGCUCGGCUGUGGACAGUUGUUGGCUUGAAAAAAGUAUAAUAAAAUAGCUGUGCAUAUCGCACUAACAAGCAUUAUCCGACCAGCCAUAUUUUAUUAUAGCACGCGGUUUUUGCAUUAUUUUUGGGACCAAACGACUUCCGUUUAGUUUAGUAUGUGCCGCUGUCGUGGUCCCACUACCAGCUGACUCUUAUUAGAUUUUCCCACCGCCACUACUAAAGACAGUUGAAUUCACAUGAUGCGACCCUCUCUUCAGAUUUUCAGCUUUUUUUAUUAAUUGAUUCUCAAGGCAAGAGCAAAUGAAUAAUAUUAUAAUAAUACUAAGAAUAACAUAGAACUUAUUAAGAAAUUCCAGAAUUGAAAAUUCUCCUCACUAGCAAUUCAGUGUUCACCCAAGUGACAAUUAUGUUAUAUUUAUUCUGUUUGAAUUCUUAAUUUAGUAACUCCAAAAUUAAUCUUUUAUUGUCAUGUAUAUAAUAUUUAUUUUAUUAUUAAUUAUUUGUUAUCAACCUAAUUAAUAAAUGAUACAUAAAAUGUAAUAUUAAGGAGGAGACAAACUAAAUAUCCGAAUUGGGUUGGCAAUAACCGCAUGACAUUACUCAAAUUUUAUGUUACUGGCGUUGUCUAACACGCGAGACGGUGGUGGGUUUCGCUUGCCAUUCACUUGGACCUAACUGUAUGUAAAAUGAAUGUUUGUUUUGAAAAGGGAACUAGGCGGCGCCUUGUCUUCCCUUUCUUUAUAAACAAUUAACAAAUCAAGCAAAACCGCGUCUGGAAAACUUGGUCUGCGCCAUUUUAAUGAACAGUCAUUUGCUACAUUACUUUGCCAACUAUUACCAAAACGUACUGAAGUUUCCCGUGUAUCUUCUCUCCGUUCAACUCUGCCUAAACUUAUAGGAUAAAAACACCAACUAAGCACAACCUUUUCAUCAUUUCAGAUUCUUUUACAUUUCUAAUACUAUUCACAUGCAAAACAUUCCAGUGGCUUGCUUUCUAGUUUCUUCAUAUAUUCCGUCCAUGUUGAUGGUCAGUUUUGUGAUUUUCUCUCUAAUUGUAGCUUCUUCUGCUAACUUCUACCAAGAUUUUGAUAAUACUCGGGGAGAUAGACUUUGAAUUCUUGGGCAAUUUAAGUGGUGACCCUUACACUCUGCACACCAAUGUAUUCACAAAUGGCAAAGGUGACAGAGAGCAACAAUUUCACCUCUGGUUUGACCUUACUGCCGAUUUUCAUACCUAUUCCAUCCUCUGGAAUCCUCAGCGCAUUGUGUAAGUACUGUUUUUUUCCCUGUCGUUAAUUUGCUUAGACUUAUAACUUUUUUCAUUGUAAUUUCCAGCUUCUCUGUUGAUGGCACCCCCAUAAGAGAAUUCAAGAACUCAGAAUCAAUUGGAGUGCCAUUUCUAAAGAAUCAACCAAUGAGGAUGUACUCUUCUCUACGGAAUGCUGAUGACUAGGCUACAAGAGGUGGCCUUAUCAAGACACAAUGGACACAUGCUCCUUUCGCCGCUUCUUAUAGAAACUUCAAUGCUGAUGCAUGUGUCUCGUCUAAUGGAAUAUCUUCUUGUGCUUCAAGUUCACCUUCCUCUCCAUAUAUCCAACGGCUGCUCCUGGUUCUCACAAGAGCUUGAUUCAACAAGUUAAGAAAGGCUGAAAUGGGUACAAAAGACAUACAUGAUUUACAACUACUGCACCGACGCAAAGAGAUUUCCUCAAGGCCUUCCUUUGAAAAGAAAAAAUCUCCUAAAGAAGUGAUUAAAUCAAACAGAUAAAUCAGUGUAAACUUAUUACAUUCAAUUAUAUGCUCUCUGUAGAGCUAUUCUUUGCAGUCUUGGUCAUCAAUAAAAAGACAGAUUUGUCAUUCUUUAUAUCAGAAGUGUUAUAAUACGAAUUUUAUUGGAAAGAUGCAGAUGUGAUUUAUUAUAAAUUCAAUAUACUUAAUGUAAAAAGACUUAAAAGAUUGAGCUUUACUCAUCUAAAGUUCUCACAGACCAUAUCAACGUGAUCCCUUUCUAGCAUAUUCGCAUCUUAAUUCAUAUGAUAACUGAUACAACAUCAAUACUAUUAUUAUAACUUUAUUUUGAUAUUACAACAUAAAGUUUGAGCAUGAAAUAAACUACAUUAUUUACUUUAACUGUAGAAAUCAAAAUUAGAAUAAAUUGUAUUAUCAUUGAUGUGUUUAGUUUGUCUUGAAAUCUUAGUCAUAAUAAAUUAGACUGUCAUAAAUUACUAAAAAGUUUUUAAUUAAUUAUUAUCAUAAUUAUUAUUUUAUAUUUUAAUUAAUGUAAUUAUUGUUAUUCAGAAAUUAUUAUUAUUAAUUAUUGUUAAUAAUAAUAAUAAUAUCAUUAACAUGAAUAUAUUAAUUAUAAUAUUUUUUUAUCAAUAAUAAUGAUAAUAAUACAUUUGAAAAUCAUAAUAACAAUAAUAAUAAUCAAAAUCAUCAUCAUCAACGACAACAACAAAUCAAAAUCGGAUUUGGAUCAUAAUAUCAUCGUCGUUGUCGACAUCAUCAUCGGUGAUGGUUGUUGUUGCUAGAUCGUUGUUGCUAUUGCUCCUGCUCAACGGUCAGCGACGACCAAUGACGUUGAUUUUUGCAGUAACAGUUUGGUGAAGACGAUGAAAAUCGGUGAGGCUUCAAUUUACAGCGACUGUUUGCUGUGGUUUUUUUUUCUAUUUAAAUUUUUUUAAUUGAAUGAAGGUGUUGAUGCUGAAAUCUGCUCGCCUCUUGACCGACCAGAUUCUUUCACCAACGUUUGUGUUAUCUACUGUUGCUCGUUCACUGGGAUUGGAAUCGUCCUCCUUUCUCUCAAUAGACCUGCACUCACUAAAAAUGGAUCAGAGACGCCGGUGGUUUUGCCGGCGUAAACCCUCCGAUGCCUAAGUUAGCACAAGGUGUUUACGGGAAAACAGUGUAAUUUGGAUUCCAGGAGCUUAUUAAAAAUUUGUAAGGAAAUGGCCUAGUUGCAAUUUGGCAGCGUUUUCCCUCUCUCUUUUUUUUUUUCCCCUUUCUUCACCGAUUUCUUCUUCUUUUAUAGCCGCUGUCCCCACGUUUCCGUUUGCCAUUCAUCCCACCUUUUUCGGGUAGUGGCAGCCCCUCAUGGGAUUUUAACUGCUACAUUGUGGGCAAACGUGGGAUCUCGCAUCUCCCACAACGGUUCUGGGAAAAGCGCAACUACCGCGAUUCUGUGGGAUCGUGUUUCCGCUUUUUGAGGGACGGGUACCGACUCGGUAUACGACUCUGGUCGGUAUUCGUCUCUGAUCAGCUCAUGUUACCCCCUGUUCUGCUCGUACCAUUUGGCUGAGGUGAUUCAUGCCGGGGUGGAAAUAGUAGCAUGGCCGACCUGGUGCUUUUAUUUGCUUAACACCAGUCCCCCAGUUUUUGGUCUUGUGAGUGAAAUGAGUCAAGAGUAGAAACUGAUAGUCAAAUCUUACCAAUCCAGGGGCUUCUCCUCUGAUCUUUCGUCUACCGGGAUGGACCUGAGGUAUCAUUUUUCUUCAGGGGAGAUUUUGACCUGAGCAUGGGCCUAAAUGAGUAUGUCCAUUGCGUAUCUGGGCUUGCAUCUAGCCUGGCCUCUUAUAACGAUUGGUGACGUGGCAUCUCCCGACUCUUCGUAUUUGAAAUUUGAAACGACGGGCUAUCUGUCCUUGAUGUACGGUGAGUGAGCUGGCGUCUCUAUCACUUAAAUGCUUUCAUUUCCCCUUUUUCGUUUCAAAUCCCUAGACUUAUAUCUGCAUCGCUUUGUUAUUCAUCUCUUCAUCGUUAACUAACUCCCUCUCUGAACUUUGCUUACACUUCUCGUGUCUGGAGUAUCCACUCGCUGAAUUUUUUCUCUAUCACGGUCGCGCUAUCAGUGCCAGUUCAAUCCAGGUAUUGCCUUUAACUUCUCCUCUGGUUAUUGUUGAUUGGGUUCUGUGUUGCCCUUUUUGUGUCCAUAUACUCGAGUUUUCUUUGUUUUCUUUUGAGGUUCUGAUAUGUCAAACCGAAAAAGAAAGUUAAUUGUUGAUGAGGAUGAUGAAGAAUCAGGGGAUUCAGGCCUCAACGUGUCAAUACCCACCUAUUUCUUAGGUCCCUCCAGUAAUGUAGGUCCUUCCCAUGGCAGGGAUACCCUUGAGUACCCACGCCCCUUGGUUGUCUCUUCCUUUCCCGAACUAGAGCUUGUAGGGAAUAGAGGUGGACUUGCGUCGGGAUCUGGUGAGAACCACAGCUUUGGUGGGGUUGGGAUCCGUGAAGGAGUUGGCGAUGGUGAGGGGAGCAGUUCCGGACCGAGCGGUCUUGCUAAGAAAAGGAAUAUUGGCCAUAGGGUGGAGGCUGAUUUCUACCCUAUUGAUUACAUAGCCUGUGCCACCACCCAAACUGACUUAUUCAAGCUUAGGAACCUCUACGACAUUCCUGAGGAGGUUCUUCUUGUAGUUCCUGGGAAGGGUGACGUUCCUAGUCGGCCUCCACGGGGGUAUGUGACAAUGCACCUAGAGAGUUUCAAACUAGGAGCUCGGCUGCCCCUUCAGCGUUAUUUUUCCAAAAUAUUGGGGGGUAUGCACCUGGCCCCAGAUCAGCUACACCCGAACGGGUGGAGGGUUCUCUCGGCAAUGUUUGUGUUGUGGUAGAGGUGCGGGUCGGAGGAGCCUUCCCUUGUUGAAGUGAAACAUCUGUAUCAGCUGCGGAGCAGCCCAAGGGAGGCGGGCUGGUAUUACUUCAUGUCCAGUUCCGCAAAGAGAAAGCCAAUCACUGGUUUCCCCUCCUCGUGCAAAAAUUGGAAGAACAAAUUCUUCUUUGCUGGGGGAAAGUGGUGUUCAGCACUCCGUUCGUUGGGUGGUGAUAUUUACCUUCCAACGCAGUUUGUCACCCCAGGUCGUUCAUUUUUUGCCUAUAUUCCUUCUCAAACUGUCACUUAUCGAGUUCUUUAACCUCUUUUGCUAUUUCAGAGUCGUGGGGUUUGAUCGGGGGGCUUAAAGAUUGACCUUUGCUUCAGGUGGAAACUGCUCUGUUGAACGCGUCUACCUGCCAAGACCUCCUGUCGCCAACAAACCUGGUCGGUUCGGGCCUAGUAGACAUAGCCGCUGGAAUGGAUAACAAAAUCCUUAGCGCGAUGAGCAGGAAGCGUGGUCGGGCUCCGAGUAGCUCCAACAACCUUCCCCCUCCUCCAAAGAAACCCAGCGUCUGUCUUUCCAAGGCGCCUGUUCCUGCUCUGCCCCCUCCUCCACCUCGUAAGAGUGGUGGGGAGAAAACCUACGACAAGAGUCCUGAGGUCAGCUUGCAAUCUGAGGACCGAUCUUCUCCUCUUCUAUCUCGGGAUCAAGGUGACUACCUGAGCCCAUAUCAGAAGGAUUAUAAAAAAUCGGUUGGGCCCAAGAUGGUGAAGGACAUCGAGAGCAUGAGUCUCUCCGAGUUAGCUGCUUUUAUUCAAAGAGUCUCCUUCAGGUUGUCCACAAUGGUCUCGUGCUACAAGACCGGGUCCGCGCGUCAUGAGAAGAAGCUUCAAGCUGACAAUCAGGAGUUGAAAAAGAAAGCUGAAUCUGCUGACCGCUCCAAGGAGAAACUAGCCGAGCUGAACAAGCAGAUUACAGAGCUGGAGGAGAAAGUUGCAGUUGCUGAGUCUACUGCCUCCAGGUUUGAGGGUGAGUUGGAUGGCCUGAAGUCGGACCUUCAGGUAACUCAAAGUGAAAGAGAUACUUUGAGGACCGCCCUUGAGGGAGAAAUCAAAUCCCUGAAUGAGCAGCUGGCUGAGGAGAAAGGCAAAUCCGCUGAUGUGGACGAUCGGUUGGAUGCCGAGUAUGACUCGGGGGUUGCUUUCUCCUAUAAGUGUAUCAUGUCUGUGCUUCAGGGAGAAUAUCCCGAGCUGGACAUGAGCAAGUUGGAGGCUGGAGUGCAGCGGUAUAUGGCAGAGGUCGGCCAGGCGGACAAUGAGCAGGGUGAGCAGGAUCAGGUGGAGGCUCCUUUGGAUGAGGUGCAAGAGGGGGAAGCUGGGGGACGUCCUUUCGAAGUGGGUCAAGGGUCCAUGCCUCCUCCUCCCGGCAUUGCUGAUCUCCCACCUCCUGAACUGCUGUACGGCCAAGGCGGAUGUACGGUACAGCAGUUUGUAAACAAUUGAACAUUUAUAAAUUUUUAGAUGCUCUUUAUUUGCUUUCUUGUUCGGUUUUUGCUAAUAGAUUGUUUCUGAAAAACAAUUGGAUAACUUAUCUGAUUUUGCCUGCUGGUUCCUUAGCGAACUGAGCAGGAGUAGACAUUUACUUGCCUUAGUAAAAUUUCCAUAAAACUGGUUGCUUGUCUUCAUUGACCGAGCCGAACUAGGCACUUACUUGCCUUAAUAGGAUUUUUUGUAGAAUUAGCUGCUGGUCUUUCGUUGACCGAGCAGAAGUAGGCAUUUACUUGCCUUAGUAGGAUCUUCGUAGAUUUAGCUGCUGGUCUUUCGUUGACCGAGCAGAAGUAGGCAUUUACUUGCCUUAGUAGGAUCUUCGUAGAUUUAGCUGCUGGUCUUUCGUUGACCGAGCAGAAGUAGGCACUUACUUGCCUUAGUAGAAUCUUCGUAAAUUUAGCUGCUGGUCUUUGGUUAACCGAGCAGAAGUAGGCGCUUACUUGCCUUAGUAGAAUCUUCGUAGAUUUAGCUGCUGGUCUUUCGUUGACCGAGCAGAAGUAGGCACUUACUUGCCUUAGUAGAAUCUUGGUAAAUUUAACUACUGGUCUUUCGUUGACCGAGCAGAAGUAGGCACUUACUUGUCUUAGUAAGAUUUUUUGCUUCAAGCUGACAAUCAGGAGUUGAAAAAGAAAGCUGAAUCUGCUGACCGCUCCAAGGAGAAACUAGCCGAGCUGAACAAGCAGAUUACAGAGCUGGAGGAGAAAGUUGCAGUUGCUGAGUCCACUGCCUCCAAGUUUGAGGGUGAGUUGGGUGGCCUGAAGUCGGACCUUCAGGUAACUCAAAGUGAAAGAGAUACUUUGAGGACCGCCCUUGUGGGAGAAAUCAAAUCCCUGAAUGAGCAGCUGGCUGAGGAGAAAGGCAAAUCCGCUGAUGUGGACGAUCGGUUGGAUGCCGAGUAUGACUCGGGGGUCUCCUGGUCCCGUGGCUCGUAUUACUCUAUACGGGCCUUUCCAUUUUGGGCCAAGAGCACCAUGGUUGGGAUCCCUAGUAUUUUGAUUCACCUUCCUAAGUACCCAAUCUCCUGCUCGGAACUGCCUCACGCGUACAUUCUUGUUGUAAUAACGCGUGACCCUUUGCUGACACUGGGCCACUUUCUGUGAGGCCCCUUCCAUUUUCUCCUCAAGUAGGUCCAGGCUUAAGCAGAUCUGCUCGUCAUUUUCUUCCUCAGCGAAAUAUUCCGUUCGAUGUGUCCCCACUCCAAUCUCUGCUGGGACUACUGCCUCAUGACCAAAAGAUAAAGCGAACGGGGUUUCCCCUGUAGCAGUUUUGUGAGUUGUCCGGUAAGCCCACAAUACCCCUGGUAGCUCGUCAACCCAAGCUCAUUUUUUGAUUGCCAACUUGUGGCAAGCUACCCCGCGAUCAAUUCCGGGCAUAUCUUCAUGAGACCAGGCGAAUAUAUCCGCAUGAGACUGUAGGCAAUUUAUCAGUUCGCCUUUUAUUGCCCCAACCAAUCCUGACCCGAUCUUCACUACUCUGCUCGGGUUGCUUUUGCUUACCGCAACUUCCUCCAGUUUCUCAACAGGCUCUUGGCGGCCCUUUUUAGAGUCUCCUCGAUUAUCUAGAGAGGUAACCUGCAGUGUCUCCUUGGCCGCUGUAGCAUAACAACUCCUUGCCAUCCUCUGGUCACCUUUUACUACGCCAACCACCCCAUUUACUCUGUAUUUCAGUGCCAAGUAAUGCGUGGAUACAACGCAUUGGCUUAUCCUCAUGAAUGGUCUCCCCAGUAUCAUCUGGUAAGGGCUUCUUUCCUCUACCACGACAAAAUCCAGCAUCAUUGUUCUUUCAAAUGGUUUUGUCCCUAUAGUAAUUGGGAGUUCGAUGAUCCCCAUGAGAGUUAACCGUCCCCCUCCAAAUCCCUUUAAGGAUGUAUUUGUCCGCUCAAAUUUCAAGUCUGCGAUCCCCAUAUCAUCUAGAGCCAACUUAAACAGGAUGUCAACCGAGCUGCCUGUGUCUACUAGUAUUCGUCGCAAUUCUGUACCGACCACCAUUGCCUUGAUCACCAAUGCAUCCUCAUGCGGAUAUAAGAUACCCUCUUCAUCGUCAUCUGUCCACAUAAUGGGAACUUGCCGCACUUUUGCCUUCUUGGUUGCCGGCAAAUUGAAAAGCACUUCUUUGCUAGUCAGGGCAUAUCUCCCAUAGUUCUUCCGUGCCCUGUUCGAAUCCCCGGCCAAUGUUGGCCCUCCUGCUAUUACACGGAUGGUCGGCUGUUCACAUUCCAAAUCCCUCUCAACCCCUUCAUCCCGUGUAUAUUGUGAUUCCAUGACAAGGGACAUUCCAUCUACAUACUCGUCUGUUGUAAUAACGCGUGACCCUUUGCUGACACUGGGCCACUUUCUGUGAGGCCCCUUCCAUUUUCUCCUCAAGUAGGUCCAGGCUUAAGCAGAUCUGCUCGUCAUUUUCUAUCAGCUGAACUGCUCGGUUAUCAUGAAUGUCACCUCGGGCUGACACAGUCGCUAACUGAUCUGGUCGACUAGCCAUGGAAUUAGUUGCAUGUGAUGCUCUGGGAGUGUUGUGAUAGGGGUGGGCAGCCAUCUGCCGGAAUUCUCUUUGCCGAUCCGGGAAUGGGGGACGCGGAGGUUGAGCCCGGUUGUGCUGGAACUGCUGUGAUCUCAGAGCCAUGGGGUAAGGGCGGGACCGAGCCGAUAUUCCGCCCAUCACUGAAGAUUCUCCAGCUCGUUUUCCCGACCCGCUCCCUGUCGGGACUCUCCGUUCCUUUCGCCUCAGCUCGUCCAGCUGUUCACUUUUUAUUCUUGCCGAUUUCUCCUCUUCGAUUUCUAUAUCUCGCCUCGCCUGCUCAUACCCCGACGAGUAAUUCUGUACAAGGGGGCUUCUUAAGUUAUACCAUAGUCGGCCGAUUCUUACACCUUCUUUUAAUCCCCUCAACGCCUGCGGGUGAUUAAAAGCUCCCAGAUCCAGCACGGCUCGGUGAUAUCUUUUUACAACCAUUUUGGGCCAAGAGCACCAUGGUUGGGAUCCCUAGUAUUUUGAUUCACCUUCCUAAGUACCCAAUCUCCUGCUCGGAACUGCCUCACGCGUACAUUCUUGUUGUAAUAACGCGUGACCCUUUGCUGACACUGGGCCACUUUCUGUGAGGCCCCUUCCAUUUUCUCCUCAAGUAGGUCCAGGCUUAAGCAGAUCUGCUCGUCAUUUUCUUCCUCAGCGAAAUAUUCCGUUCGAUGUGUCCCCACUCCAAUCUCUGCUGGGACUACUGCCUCAUGACCAAAAGAUAAAGCGAACGGGGUUUCCCCUGUAGCAGUUUUGUGAGUUGUCCGGUAAGCCCACAAUACCCCUGGUAGCUCGUCAACCCAAGCUCAUUGCAGAAUCUGCUCUUAUCCCGUCGGUGAGUCGGUUUUGUUAUUGGGGCUGGAGGGUACAGCAAGCUUCGUCCCUCGAUCCUCUCAUACAAUUCCUCCAUGGAGAUCUUUAACGGAGUGUACUGUCUAUACGCCAAGCUCUGGUCUAUCAGCUGAACUGCUCGGUUAUCAUGAAUGUCACCUCGGGCUGACACAGUCGCUAACUGAUCUGGUCGACUAGCCAUGGAAUUAGUUGCAUGUGAUGCUCUGGGAGUGUUGUGAUAGGGGUGGGCAGCCAUCUGCCGGAAUUCUCUUUGCCGAUCCGGGAAUGGGGGACGCGGAGGUUGAGCCCGGUUGUGCUGGAACUGCUGUGAUCUCAGAGCCAUGGGGUAAGGGCGGGACCGAGCCGAUAUUCCGCCCAUCACUGAAGAUUCUCCAGCUCGUUUUCCCGACCCGCUCCCUGUCGGGACUCUCCGUUCCUUUCGCCUCAGCUCGUCCAGCUGUUCACUUUUUAUUCUUGCCGAUUUCUCCUCUUCGAUUUCUAUAUCUCGCCUCGCCUGCUCAUACCCCGACGAGUAAUUCUGUACAAGGGGGCUUCUUAAGUUAUACCACAGUCGGCCGAUUCUUACACCUUCUUUUAAUCCCCUCAACGCCUGCGGGUGAUUAAAAGCUCCCAGAUCCAGCACGGCUCGGUGAUAUCUUUUUACAAAAUCUCGAAGGGAUUCAUGCUCCUCCUGUUUCAUCCCCAUCAGUUCCAUCAUAUCGUCCUCUGGGGCCAUUGCCCCUCGGAACUGCUCGGCCAACUCCUGGCACAUCUGCUCAUACCCUUUUAUACUUCCUCGGGGCAGCUUGCGGUACCAUUCUCGGGCUCGUCCCUCUAAUGUCAACGGGAACACCCUGCACCUCUGAGCUGAUGUCAGCCCCUGCACACCCGUCAUGUCGUUGAAACGCUCAAUGUGCACCAGCGGGACAUUUCGCCCGGAGUAUUUGAGGUCGGGGAAGCGGAAAUCUCUUGGGAUUAUGGUACUCAUGAUCUCAGUUGAUAACAGAGAUUCUUCAUCUAGCAUUAUCCUCCAGGUCGAGGCUUUCUCUUGCCCUGUAUCUCCUCUAUCACCUACGCCAAUCUGCGCACCUCCCCCUCCAAUUCUAAGGCACGGUCAGGAUCACGUGCAGCUAUAUGGUCUCGUUCCAGCUCGGCAUUGUGUAACCGCUAUCUGAGCUCUCCUUCGUCAACACUGGCACCUCGGCCAUUGACUUCCAGGACCUGUCCGGGGCGAGGUUGGUCCCUCCCUUCAUCCACGCGUUCUCCCGGGACCCGACCAGUACUUCUGUGGGGAUGCACCCCAUUAGGUUGGUCUGCGGGCGGAGGGAUUUCCUCGACUCUACGCCUCCGAAGGCUGGGUUCUACUCCAACUUCAUCUCUUCCCACGGGGGUUUCACAAUCCCUUCUCCGCUCAUCCCUCAGCUCGAACAAUAUGGUUGCGAGAGUCUCCAUUUGUUUCUCCAUCCGCUCCAGUCUAUCUUGCAUCAUCUUCUCUCGGGCUUCAUUUGCAAUUUCCCGGAGAGUGACUGUCUCCCCAGCUUCGUUAUCCUCCCUCAAAGCGUCCUUCCUUGUCACAUCCAUGCCUAACCGUUCGCUGUUUUUCCAGUAACUACUAAUUCGGUGGUAGCUUUUUAUCCAGNNNNNNNNNNNNNNNNNNNNNNNNNNNNNNNNNNNNNNNNNNNNNNNNNNNNNNNNNNNNNNNNNNNNNNNNNNNNNNNNNNNNNNNNNNNNNNNNNNNNNNNNNNNNNNNNNNNNNNNNNNNNNNNNNNNNNNNNNNNNNNNNNNNNNNNNNNNNNNNNNNNNNNNNNNNNNNNNNNNNNNNNNNNNNNNNNNNNNNNNNNNNNNNNNNNNNNNNNNNNNNNNNNNNNNNNNNNNNNNNNNNNNNNNNNNNNNNNNNNNNNNNNNNNNNNNNNNNNNNNNNNNNNNNNNNNNNNNNNNNNNNNNNNNNNNNNNNNNNNNNNNNNNNNNNNNNNNNNNNNNNNNNNNNNNNNNNNNNNNNNNNNNNNNNNNNNNNNNNNNNNNNNNNNNNNNNNNNNNNNNNNNNNNNNNNNNNNNNNNNNNNNNNNNNNNNNNNNNNNNNNNNNNNNNNNNNNNNNNNNNNNNNNNNNNNNNNNNNNNNNNNNNNNNNNNNNNNNNNNNNNNNNNNNNNNNNNNNNNNNNNNNNNNNNNNNNNNNNNNNNNNNNNNNNNNNNNNNNNNNNNNGUUGAUAACGGAGAUUCUUCAUCUAGCAUUAUCCUCCAGCUCGGGGGCUUUCUCUUGCCCUGUAUCUUCUCUAUCACCUGUGCCAAUCUGCGCACCUCCUCCUCCAAUUCUACGGCACGAUCAGGAUCACGUGCAGCUAUAUGGUCUCGUUCCAGCUUGGCAUUGUGUAACCGCUGUCUGAGCUCUCCUUCGUCAACACUGGCACCUCGGCCAUUGACUUCCAGGACCUGUCCGGGGCGAGGUUGGUCCCUCCCUUCAUCCACGCGUUCUCCCGGGACCCGACCAGUACUUCUGUGGGGAUGCACCCCAUUAGGUUGGUCUGCGGGCGGAGGGAUUUCCUCUACUCUACGCCUCCGGAGGCUGGGUUCUGCUCCAACUUCAUCUCUUCCCACGGGGGUUUCACAAUCCCUUCUCCGCUCAUCCCUCAGCUCGAACAAUAUGGUUGCGAGAGUCUCCAUUUGUUUCUCCAUCCGCUCCAGUCUAUCUUGCAUCAUCUUCUCUCGGGCUUCAUUUGCAAUUUCCCGGAGAGUGACUGUCUCCCCAGCUUCGUUAUCCUCCCUCAAAGCGUCCUUCCUUGUCACAUCCAUGCCUAACUGUUCGCUGUUUUUCCGGUAACUACUAAUUCGGUGGUAGCUUUUUAUCCAGCUCCCCACAGACGGCGCCAAAAUGUUGAUGCUGAAAUCUGCUCGCCUCUUGACCGACCAGAUUCUUUCACCAACGUUUGUGUUAUCUACUGUUGCUUGUUCACUAGGAUUGGAAUCGUCCUUCUUUCUCUCAAUAGACCUGCACUCACUAAAAAUGGAUCAGAGACGCCGGUGGUUUUACCGGCGUAAACCCUCCGAUGCCUAAGUUAGCACAAGGUGUUUACAGGAAAACAGUGUAAUUUGGAUUCCAGGAGCUUAUUAAAAAUUUGUAAGGAAAUGGCCUAGUUGCAAUUUGGCAGCGUUUUCCCUCUCUCUCUUUUUUUCCCCUUUCUUCACCGAUUUCUUCUUCUUUUAUAGCCGUUGUCCCCACGUUUCCGUUUGCCAUUCAUCUCACCUUUUUCGGGUAGUGGCAGCCCCUUAUGGGAUUUUAACUGCUACAUUGUGGGCAAACGUGGGAUCUCGCAUCUCCCACAACGGUUCUGGGAAAAGCGCAACUACCGCGAUUCUGUGGGAUCGUAUUUCCGCUUUUUGGGGGACGGGUACCGGCUCGGUAUACAACUCUGGUCGGUAUUCGUCUCUGAUCAGCUCAUGUUACCCCCUGUUCUGCUCGUACCAUUUGGCUGAGGUGAUUCAUGCCGGGGUGGAAAUAGUAGCAUGGCCGACCUGGUGCUUUUAUUUGCUUAACAGAAGGUAUUUUCAGAAUGUUAAAAUUUCAAUGGGAACAGAUUUUUUAUUCCCAAAAAUCGAUCGUUGAGAAUUAGUCUCGCAUUUUCAUGCUUAUUUUAGUCUUUCAUUUUGAUGCUUAUUUUGUAAAGUAAAUGCUAUUAAUAAUUUCGAUUCUCCAAUCAAGAAAGUAAACAUAAGUAAACAUCGCAGUAAUGUAUAACUAUAGCAAAUUUAUGAUAUAAAGUAUUGUCAUUAUAUAUAUGUUUAUACUCGCGCGGAAUCUACGUAAGCACUCGUGGCCACAGCACACUCAAGAGGAAGCCCUUUUGGGAAGCGCUUUGUGUCUGUACAAUAAUUAUAAAUCAUGUAAUUCUUCUGCACCCACUUGAGUUUCUCUCGGCUUGUUUCAUCAAGCUCAUCGAUCUUCAUCCAUGCAGAGGAUGAAGAAUUCGAAGGGCAAGGCGCAGAAAUGAUUGGACCUGCUGGGUAACGAAUGCAAGUUUUGGCAUUAAAGUUUCUACAAGAAGCUGUAAAUGGAGCUUUUGUCCAAUCUGUUUUGACAAGACCGCCUCUUGUUGCCCAGUCAUCAGCGUUCCAGAGACUCGAGUGUAUUCUCAUUGGUUGGUUUUUUGGGUAAGGAAUGUUGAUUGACUCCAAGUUCUUGAACUCUCUAAUCGGUGUGCCAUCGACAUAGAAUCUGAAAACGUUUUUAAACAAAAAUGUUAGAGAGCCUUUUUAACCCAAAAGAGCCCAAAGAAUAUAUGAAGUAUUAAACCAAAAAAAAGAGACACGUCUAAUAAAAAAAAGAAGAGGAUUAAUUAGUGACUUGAAUUGUUGCUUGUUUUCAACAAGAGAUGAUUAGUGGAUUGAAAUUCUUACACGAUGGUUUUGGGAUUCCAGAGAAUGGAAUAUGUGUGAAAAUCUGAAGUGGGAUCAAACCAGGGAUAAAAUUGCUGCUCUCUGUCACCUUUGCCUUGUGUGAUUACAUUUGUGUGAAAAAUAUAAGGAUCGCCACUGAGAUUUCCCAAGAACUCAAAGUCUAUCUCAUCCCAUGUUGAUCCUUGUGAUGACAACUAUAACACAGAAUUAAAAAUAAGCUUACUCUUAAAGAGAAAAACAUUUUCGUGCAAGAUCACUGGCAGCUUACGCCUUACAUAGUAAGAUGUGACAGUGCCAGCAGAGUUGCCUGGGACAAGCUUGAAUUGCAUGUCAAUUUUGCCAAAUAGAUACUCAUUCUUGGACUGGAAACCUGAGCCUGUGUCUUUGCCAAGGUAAAGAUUGAGGACUUCUCCAUCGUUGCGAAUCCUGACCUUGUCAAUUCCCCAUAUGAUGUCAAAAUCUUGAUAAAAAUUACUAGCUGGUAAAACUAACACAAAAGAGUUAGAUAAUAAAGCAGACAGCAUUAUCAGCACUACUAGUGAUUUAGCCGCAGCCAUUGUGCGAUAUUUAAAAUUUUGUUAUAGUUUUGGAUUUUUAUAGAGACGAAAAGAAAGAAGCGAUUUGCCAUUUGGAAAAAGAAAAAUGAAAAUUUUAAGAGAUAAGAUAGAUGAUGGGGAAGAGUUAGAGUCAAGGAUUAGGCUAGCACUUGUGGGGCAAAGAGCAAGAGCGGGAAACAGAUGGCAAAGACUGAAAUUAGUGAAAAGAAACUGCGAAAAUGCGGAUUUAUGCAUGUCACACAAGUGACAGCCCUAAGCAUGGUUUAUUAACACGUUGAAAUUUUGGCUGAUGGGUGCUUUUUGACCACUCUAUAUAGUUUCCGCAUCUACUGACCGGCUGGGCUCAGCCCUAUGUGAUUAGGAUGACUUUGGAGCAGUUUCCGUACUUAGAAUAGUCCCAAAAUAUGCUUAAGAAAAUGAGCAGGGUGUUCAAAAUCUAAUUCAAUUGGCUUAAUCCCAAAAUUAAUAGUCCCAAAAUUUGACUUUUAUAAUCGCCGAGAGUAAAAAUGAUUAUCUUAAGAUUUCAACAAGUCUUAAUAUAUUUUUCUUCACUUUUCUUUCUAGUAAUCAUGACAAUACAAAAAUUGUAACUAAAAAAGAAGAAUUAUGUACUUGGUCAUGAUUCAUGAGGAGACAUAAUGAAUCUUAUAAAAUGAAACCUUUGACUUCAAUUGGAUCUUGAGUCGCACAACCACUCUAGCUUUAUACAUAUUGUGUCUAGAUAUAAUAAAGUUCAAUGGUGCUCGUCGUUAAUUACUGUUAAAUGAUAAUAAAGUUUUAGCAAGAUGAUAUGAAUAUAAAGAGCAAAACAAUUUCGGAAUAUUUUGAGCUGUCAUAUUUACAUAAUUAACUUAACAGCUAAUAUGUUUAUCAAACAUUUACACAGUAAUAAUUAAUAUUAAUAACUUUUGUAACAACUCAAUCCCAAACUUGCCUCUUUUUAAUGUUUUGAAAUUAAACUUUACCUUUAAAUGUGUUGACAGAUAUUGACUCCUCCAAAUUAGCUCCAUCAACUGAAAUUCACCGCCACGUUUCCCCGACAUCUUAGGCGCCAGCAUCAUUUACACGUGGCAAAAAGAUAACUUUACACUUAUUUGAUAAACACAAAAGUAAAACUUCAAUUAAUCAAAUUAGAAAUAAUAGCUACCUGAUGUCCCAAAAUAUUUGUAUGAAGUCACAUAAAUCUUAUCACAACGAACAAAGUAGCUAGCUAUCACUUCUAUUUGGUCCAUUUUUCAUCUGCAUCAUUUUCCUACGUCCUGCAUGAAGGACCAAAAACAGAAGGAGCAGCUGGGGGAUGAAGGGAAAAACCCUAAUGGUCAAAACCCUUGUGGAGAAAACCCUAAUGGAGAAAGCCCUAAAAAGCAAAAUGAUGAUGCUUCACUUGUACGGCAUCCUGUGAAGAGUACUGGUCAUCAUCUGAUCGCUGAUGAUUCUUAUUUUGAUUCAUUCCCGCCUGGUUACCGAUUCAAACCCCACGAUGGAGAACUUGUGGUUUAUUACUUGCGGAGGAAGAUACUGAAUCAGCCAUUGCCUCCAAACCAGAUCAAGGUGGUGGAGUUGUAUAGGUUUAAUCCUAACACACUUACAGGUUAGGGGAAAAAAAAGUCACUUUUAAUUUCUUAUUUUCUCAAUUUCUGUGUUGUAUGUUGUUUUAUUGGCACGCAUCAUAUAUGAUUAAUUUUUUUUAUAAAAAAAUCUGUUUAUUCCUUAUUUCUCGAGAUUAUUAUUUAUUAGAAUGGAAAUUUUCUGAGUCUCGUUAGUGGCUUCUCUACUCUUUAUUAUUCAAAUUUUGUAGUCUUCGCUUGGGAUAUUUGUGGCUUCUCUACUCUUUUUCACGAUAGAUGUUUAUGCCAUUACAUAUAUAAUAUUACAGUGUAUAUUUUAAUGUGAUGCGAUUUUACAUCAGGUAUGAUUUUAGAUUUAGAUGGUGUUGUAAAUCAGCAUAUAAAAUUUAAUCCCCUCAUAUUGAAAACGUUUAUAAUAUGUUAUUUCUUUCGUAUUAGUUUGUCUACAUUUUUUUUGUUUCAUGAUAUCUUUAUGAAAUUUCUUUUAUUCUGUCCACUGAUGCAAUGAUUUACAGAAAGGUACAAGUCACUUGGUGAAAUGGAAUGUUAUUUCCUUACACCAAGAGAUAGAAAAUAUCGAAAUGGUCUAAGACCCAAUCGAGCUGCUGCAGAUGGGUACUGGAAGGCCACAGGAGCUGAUAAACCUGUUAAGCACAAUGGCAGUUUGGUUGGAUUCAAGAAGGCAUUGGUCUUCUACAAGGGAAAAGCUCCAAAGGGUGAUAAGACUAACUGGAUCAUGCAUGAAUACAUAGUGAAUAAUCCACCACAGAAACAAAAAGGCCGAAAUGAUAUGAGGGUAAAUGAUUUUCCUUGUUGUCCAAAUUCAUUUUUAUUUGAUUCUUUUUUUUGGUUUUAUUCGACUAAUUUCUGCUUCAUACAAGUCCCUUGCAGUUAGAUGACUGGGUUCUCUGUAGGAUCUAUAAGAAAACAAAGCAGUCAGCCAAAGCUUCUACUCGAAAACGAGAGGAUUCAGAGGAGGAUCAACAAUCAAGAAGCGAAGUUGCAACUCAAUCUCAAGAUAGUGGACAAACUUCAGUUGAUGAAAAGGCUAAAAUGCUGCCCAAAACAGAAAAUUUCAAGCCUGAAGGCCUUGGAAUCUUUGAUGUGCCUGAUUACUACAACCAGGGAAGAUUCUUCAGCGCAUAUGAUAAUGUCCUUUUAUCUUGUCAGAGUCCAUAUGCUAAUUUUCAGGAUGGUCAUCAGGGUAAUUCUCAGAAUUGGCUUCCUUUAAUCCCUCAGUCGGGGUUUCAGCAAAUGCUCCAUCAUAAUCCUACGUGGGAGAGCCCUAUGAAGCCUGAACAGUUCGGAUAUCCGCCCGAUGAUGUGUUUAGUGAUCUCCCUUCGGAAGACAAUUGUUUUGAUCCUCUACCUCAUAAUUUUACGAACUUAUAACUCUUUUCAUUUUGUGAUUCGAUUAGUUAAUGGUAGCUGACAUUAAUUGGCAUUUAUAAUAAGUUAGUUAGAGUGUACUUUAGUAGAGGUCGGUUUUCUUGAACUCAAUUUUUCUUGCAAUUCUGUGUACUUUGAUUGUUAUUUAUAUGAAUGUCAGCAGCAUGGAUAUUCAAGGAGAGUUGCUAUUUCUAUGGGUGGUAUGCUAAGGCUCCAUUUGCUUUAGCUUUUUGGUACUAAUUCUGUUACCAUUAUCAAAAUAUUUAAAAUAUUUGUAACUCAACUUUGACAGUACAACUGAUUAUUUCUCACAGUUUUCAGUUGUAACGCUCUUUGAACAAGAUUUUCUAAUCACUAAAAUUAUAUACAUAGUUUCCUAGAAUACCAAAUUAUUUACGUGACGAUCAUAUUCUUUGUUUGCCUCAAAGCUUGAGUUGUUUCUUUUAUCUCUCUUAAUUCCAAUUCAAGAGCUGUUUUCAGAAUUUUUUUUCCUUAAAUCCCAAUAGAAAAAAUGUAACGGAACAAUUUGUUAUGAAUGUAAUAAGCCAUAUAUAUCACAAAAAGGAGCAUAAACUGCACGGCUACUAUAUAUUGUUGAAGCUCUAUGAUUUUUAAAUUCUUUAUGAACGAUGUACCUCCGAUGUACUUUUAUUUUUUCUUCUUUUUGUCAUUUUGAGAUAAAUUUUUCUCCUCGAUCUCUUUAGAUGUUCAUAACUAAAUAUUCUUUAAGAUAGAGCGCAAUGUUUUAUCCCUACCACCACAACCCUAUCAUAAAGGAGACUAAAAAUUUGAGUUGGAGAAACAAGAAACUCAAUUCAAUCUAUAGAAAUUAUGAAGCCGUGUGAUAUGAUGAACUAACGGAGCUGCAGAAUGGCCUUUGAAAGUAAUGUUAAAAGCUUAAAACCUUUUUGAGUUUCCUUUAGCAAAUGUCAUAUGCAUUUUCUCUGAUCAAUGCACGAGAAAAUAUAACUUAGAGAUUGUUUAUCAAACGUUAGAAGUUUGUUAUUUGUUUUUGUGAUUUAUGUCUGAUUUUUAGAUAUUUACAUUUGAAUGGAAAAAAUAAAUUUUUAUAUCUUUUAUUUGAAUGGAAAAGGUUUGCAUGAAAAAUAAAUAUUAUAUUCCAAAAAUAUCUGUAUAAAAUAGUUUAUUUCCUCAACUAUAAGAUCUAAUCCUUUUUUGUUUUAAUUUAUGAGGAUAUAAUUAUCAAAGAAUCAAGUUUAAAACCUUUUUUUUUUGUUAUAAAAACAAAUAAGAUGUCAUUUAUACUCAUAUAUUAAAAAAAAAAAAGAAAUCUAAACGUUUCAUUCAAUUUUUUUUUAUUUAAAUCCAUUCAAACUUCUGAAAAAUUCAGAUUCAUUCUAAUUUCAGACUUUAAAAAAAAAUGUUAUCUUACUACAAACUAAAUUCCAAACUUAAUAAAUUAAUAUCAGAUCCCAGCCACAAUUCGCAUAUGAAAUGUUUGAGAACGAAGUUGUGAGAAAAUGCAGUCAGAAUCGACUGCCAUCAAUUAACAAGUUCCUUGGGAGGAAACAUGUUCAAUUUCUUUUUCUUUUUCUUUUUUUCCAAAAUUUUAAUGUGGAAAAUUAAUUCGGAUGCCGGGGUUAGUCCAACCACAGCACUCAUACUGGGCCGUGCGAGUUAAUUUUUGGGCCAAGUUCUUAACAUAUUUACUCAAUAUUUUGGAUGACAAAAUUGCCCAUAAACGCCCUGCAAGGACAUAACUGCAGAAAACAGGCUGGAGUAAAGUAUGCGACUAUGCGGUAACAAAACUUUCGGGACGCCUGCGUUAAUGACUUUUUGUUACUGCCACAAAGCAGUCACAAAAAGGUCAUUUGUGACUGCGGAGUGAUCACAUAAAACUCCUCCUCCUUGUAGUGCCACCUGCAAAAUAAUCCAUACUAGACCUCCUAAUUCUUCAUUUUCAUCCCUAUUAUUAAGUUAACUCGAUUGAAAUAUAUAUUUAUGAAAUUACAUGCACCAACUAUUUAUCGAGAAUUACAUUAAAUUAUGUAUAUAGCUAAUGUAAGAUCAAUUUGGAGAACUAAAAAUAUGUUAAUAAAAAUAGAAAACCGGGUUAUAUCGUUUGUCCCUCUUGUUCAUGUAUCGAUUUUUUUUUUUUAAAUUCCGCGGAACUACUGCAGCUACAGUGCUGGAAAGGAGCAAAUAUGUCGGAUUAUGCUAAGGAUUGCAUUAAAUGAACAAGAAGCUAUCCUAUAUUCUCUCAUUUUGCUAAAAGAUAAGGCAGUGAAAUAACUUCUAUUCUACUUCUACUUUGAAGAAUUUUACUGCUUCUCAAUCAACUACAUCAGCAGAAACUAUCAUAUUUCGCCACAUCAGCUUCAAUGACAGCUACUAAAGCACACAUUCUGGAAUCAUUGAACUCAAUCAUAACCAUCAAAUCAUUGACCACCGAUAGAUUGGCAUCUUAACUGAAUCCAAAGGAUAAAUCGCCUUCCGAAAACCGUUUGAUAAACCGAUCAGUUAGAAAAAGUAUCUACUUUAUUUAAUGUUAUAUAAUCCAAAUAAAUUAGUAUAAAAUAAGCCCCUAAUAGGAUUCUAGGGUUUUGAUUAGAGAAUUAAGAGAGAAUAGAUGAAGAAGUUAAAGAGAAGGGAGAAGAAUUAAUAGGAAUUAAAAUUAAUUUUAUUACUUGCGUCCUAAAAACAUAAUAAGAACCACUUACUUAUAGUAGUUCAAGACAAUCCUAAUUGUAAUUUAAUAAGGACUUUAAUUGAAAUAAGAAAAGCUAAUACUAAUAGGAAAGAAAUUAAAACAAGCAAUUAAAAUAAAAUAAACUAUUAGGGCCCUAACAGCCCCCAUGCAUCUGAUCACAACAAAUAUUCUUGAUGUAUCUGAUCACAACAAAUAUUCUUGUGAGGUCAAUUUUAUAGGGAAAGCAGCGUCUCCUUCAAGUUUCGGUAAAAGUUAUCAAUGCCGGACCAGCAGCAGGGAGAUAAGGACCAAGACCCUAACGGCCAAGACCGCAAUGGUAAAAACCCUAAUGGCCAAGGCCCUAAAGGAAAAAGGCCUAUAGAUCAUACUCGUGAUGCUUCACCACCUGUGCGGAAUCGGAUGAAUGCUGCUAAGGGUCCUGAGUUCGAUGAUAACUUUCCUCCUGGUUACAGGUUCAAGCCUCACGACAUAGAGCUUCUAGUUCAUUACUUGCGGAGGAAGAGAAUGAAUGAACCUUUGCCACCAAAUCGGAUUAAGGAAGUUCACUUGUACAAAUUUAAUCCUGAUACACUUUCAGGUUAAAAAUACCCACCACCCCAUUUCUCUUUUUUGUUUCUUUUGUUUUUUUGCAAUUGCCUUGCUGGUAUUUUUCUUUAAAUUAAGUAAUGCACUUACGCAUAUUAAGUUCUUUCUUUUUCUUGAGUUCAUUUGGUUAUUAAUUAGAGUGUAACUUCUUGAGUUUCUUGAAAUGGUUUAGUUUCUUGAGUUAGAAGUGUUUCCUUUGCGUUCGUUAUACAUAUAGUCUCAUAAUUUGAUUUGUUUUCGUACUUUGGUAAUGCUCUUAGCGCUUUUCUUGAGUUCAUUUGUAAUUGGAGUGGGCAUUUCUUGAGUUUCUUGAAAUAAAAUGGUCUGCUCUUCAGUUUCUUGAGUUAAAAGUUACUUCUUUGCGUUGUUGAAUGCUGAUUUAAUUUUCUACAUAUGGUCUCGUAGUUUGGUGCUUGUAUGUAUCCAAAACAAAGACUAUAAAUAUUUAUGUUGAUAUUAUUCCGUAUUCCAUAUAAUGGAAUCAGGAAGUGUAGAUCUUUUUUUUUUUUUUGGGUGAUUGAUACAAUGAUGAUUCUGUAUUAAUAAUGCACAGAAAAGUAUAAGCCGUUUGGUGAGAAUGAAUGGUACUUUUUUACUCCAAGAGAGAGAAAGUACAAAAACGGGACAAGACCCAAUAGAGCUGCUGGAGAUGGAUUCUGGAAGGCAACUGGAGCUGACAAACCUAUCAAAAACGACGACGUUGUCGUUGGAUUCAAGAAGGCAUUGGUCUUCUACAUGGGAAAACCCCCAAGGGGAGAUAAAACUGAAUGGAUAAUGCAUGAAUUUAGAUUGGAGGGUCCUCCAAGGACCAGAAUCAGUGGAGAUGACAUGAGGGUAACUAAAUUUUGUAGCUUCUUUCUGUGUCAUAUGUGAUGUGUUGCAGCAAUUUUACAAUGUUGGUUUGCUGAUGAGUUUUGCUUUUAUAUAUUAUGUUGAUUGCAGUUAGAUGAUUGGGUACUGUGUAAGAUAUAUAAGAAAAGGGACCAGGAUAGAUCUAAGCUGUCGUCUUCAAGACCUUCAACUUCGCAACGGGAUGAUUCAAUUUCAGGCCAAGAUGAUCCACAAUCAGACACUGAAUUUCAGGAUAAUGGAGCCAUUGAUAUGGGAGUUGAAGACUCUGCUACGCUGCCCAAUGAAACUUUCAUGCCUCACGGUCCUGAAGGUCCUCGAAUCAUUGAUAUGUCUGGUUUCUACAAUCAGGGAGGAUUUCUCAAUUCAUAUGAUGAUACUUUCAUUUAUCAUCAGAGCCACUUUGUUAAUCACAAUGUCCCAUAUUCUCAAGGCAGGGUUCCUGAAAUGCCUAAUUACUAUGUUCCAUAUGCUCAAGGCAGGGUCACUGGAAUGCCUAAUCACAAUGUUCCCUAUUCUCAAGGAAGGCUCCCUCGAUUGGCUAAUCACAAUGUUUCAGAUUCUCAAGGAAGGUUCCCUGGAAUGACAAAUCAAAAUGUUUCAGUUUCAGUUUCUCAGGGGAGGUUCCCUACAAUUGCUCCUUAUUCGUAUAACAAUUCUAUGGGGCAGAGCUCUCCAUGGACUCAACAUAUAAUGAUUCCGACUGCUAAUCAGAAUCCUAAUGAAGCUGCCGAAUCAUCAGCAGCAGCAAGGGGAAGACCUUUCCAGGCAUAUCCUCAUCAACAUAUGUUUGCUACUUCAAAUCGGAAUCCUAAUCAACCUGCAGAAAUAUCAUCAUCAGCAGCAGCAAGACCUUUCCAGACAUAUCCUCAUCAUCAUAUGUUUGCUACUUCUAAUCAAGUGGCAGAAUCAUCAUCAGCUGCAGCAGCAAGACCAUUUCAAGGUUUGGAGAGCGAUAUGAAAUUUGAACAGUUAAAUGAAUGUCCCCCGGAUGAUUUUUUGAAGGACCCUUCUGACGACAAUUGCUUUGAUCCGGAUUAUCAUAACUCCCGGAAAUUCUAACUCUGCCAUUUUUUUAUCCUUCGAUGAUCGAUGAUGACUGGCUUUGACAGAUUUGUUGAUUGAAAACGUAGUCAUAGUUACUACUAACUUUGUGCUUGACGUGAACAUUUCCAUAGAUUUUUCUCUAGGACGAUUAAUGGAUUAUUUUCUUAGAGGACUCUAUCUUCUAUUUUAGUUGUGGACCCAAUUUCUCUCACUUUGCAAGUGCCUCAUGUUGAUAGAUUUUAAAUUUGUCUUGAUUGCCAUGCAAAUUUUUAAAUAAGGUGGAUGUGGCUAUCCUUUUAUAAAUCACACUGAUUCAUAAAUAUUAUUCCCGCUUCCUAUGUCAUUAAAAGUAUAGAUUUUUGGUUUGUUAUAAUAUAUGACAUGGGGAACCCGGCUGAAACUUUUUUGGUUCAAUUACAAUGGUUACGCGUUGCCCAUUUGGUUACUUUAUAUUUUGUUGACAUAGGGUUACAAGCUUCUGGCAGCUGCUGUUUCUUCUGGAUAUAUAUAAUGCUAUUACAUUUUCCAUGGGGUAUGCCCUAUUUUUUCAGCCUUAAAAACUUUCAUGGUCUCCCUCGAUGUUUUCAGAAUCCUAAGAGGGAAGUGGGGAAAUCUAAUGCUACAAUAUAGUAAAUCCAAAACCAUUUCUCUUUGAUCUGGCAACUUCUGGGUGUCCACUAGAACAUACUAGAAAACAAAUUUUCAUGGAAGUGGCAUCGCAUUAUUUGUCGGUGGAUAUGCCAAAUGCUCAGGAGUAGGUGGAAAUAACCUAGGAAGCAAGUAGCAACUAUGCUCAUCUCUCCUGUAAAAUAAUGCCCGCAAGCAAUUUGACUGGCUUAAAGUUAUGACAAAGAUGCCCAUUUUCAAUGUGCACUUGUUUUUGCUAUCCAGCUGUUCAGUUCUCAACUCACCCCACCAACCAACUAUACAUUUCAAUAUUUGGCGAACAUUCGAUGCACUAACCAGCAGCUCCAAUAAAUAGCCUGGAACUCAGUAUUCUCAAGUGUGUCAAACUAAGUUGCAUAACGUUCCCGAAGUCAAUGCCUUGCUAUUCUUAUUCUUCUUAUCCAAUUUUCUUGUUCUCUUUUAUUGUCACAAGCUCUUUCAUUGUUGCAAAUGCUGGUAAUUUUAACAAAGAUGUUGAUAUUACAUGGGGUGAUGGACGUGCCAAGAUUCUCAACAAAGGCAAGCUUCUUACUCUGUCUCUCGACAAAGCAUCUGGCUCUGGCUUCCAGUCUAAGAAUGAAUUUUUCUAUGGAAAAUUUGAUAUGCAGCUCAAGCUUGUUCCCAACAACUCUGCUGGCACUGUCACUGCCUACUAUGUAAGCUCCUUAAUGAAAGAUUCUUUUUCCCUUUCACAUAUAAUUUGUUUGUCAGUCGUCACAUCAUUAUGUUGAUACGUAGACUUGCUAUGGUGCAGCUAAAAUCUCCAGGGGCAUCAUGGGAUGAAAUAGACUUCGAAUUCCUGGGGAAUUUGAGUGGCAACCCUUACAUUGUUCACACAAAUGUCUACACACAAGGAUAAGGUGACAGAGAGCAACAAUUCUACCUCUGGUUUGAUCCCACUGCCGAUUUUCACACUUAUUCAAUCCUCUGGAAUCCAGGUCACAUUGUGUUAGUACAUACACAACCCUGAUGUGAGCGAAAUUCGAAUCCUGGAUUUAAUUUUAUCAAGCUCGCAUUAACUUUUUAUUACAUUUUCUUUUUGUUCAGCUUCUAUAUCGAUGGCAGACCCAUCAGAGAAUUCAAGAAUCUCGAAUCAUUCGGCAUUCCGUAUCCCAAAAAACAAUCAAUGAGAAUGUAUGCUAGCCUGUGGAAUGCCGAUGACUGGGCUACAAGAGGGGGCCUGGCGAAAACAGACUGGUCUCAGGCUCCCUUCACUGCUUCCUUCGGAAACUUCAAUGCAAAAGCUUGUGUUUUGUCCAUCGGAAUAUCUUCUUGCAGCUCGAAUCCCGCAACUAAAAAUACAUGGUUUUCACAGGAGCUCGACUCUUCAAGCCAAAGGAAGCUAAAAUGGGUGCAGCAAAAUUACAUGGUUUACAAUUAUUGCGCAGACACAAGUUGGUUCCCUCAGUGCCUCCCCCAAGAAUGCACCAACAAAAAUUAGGACGAUGAAUCUUUUCUAAUCCAUUCAGUGUUUGGAAAUUCGUAUUUCAAUUAUAUUUUUAUUCUUUCUUCUACUUUUCUCAAUAGGGUUUCUUGAUUGCCAUCAAUCAUAUAACAUAAGAAUAUCGCUUCCCACUUGAUGCAUCUAAAUAAUAGUAAUAAAUGAUGUAGGAUGGUUUCAUCAAAAUUCAUUUUUCUUUUUAUUUUUUCAUUUUGGACUUCGGUUGGCAUCCUCAUCAUUAGAUAAUUAUUCUACAAAGUAAUAUAAUAUAUUAUUUACCCUUAUUAUAUAUGCCAAUUAUCAAGAAGAAAUGGGUAGGUAUUGAUAUUAAGGACUCAUCAGGUCCCUGCUAGGCCCAAAUGAAAUUAGUUCAAGAAUCAUGAACCUUGCAGGCCGAGCUCUAAUGGGCCAUUUAUGAUUUGCAUAAGUAUCCCAAACUUCUUCCAAAGAUAACUGCAAAAAAUUUAACAAAGUUGAUUGUUUUCCUCAAAUCGAACAAUAUUCAGAUUUUGUUCAGUGUUCAAUUACCCUAAGAAUUUUCUUUCCUAACUCAUGCAGAGCAAUCCAUAAUCUCAUUUCGCCAUGGCUUUUAUCCAAGUCACAUGUAGCCGCCCAUGCAUGGGGAGAUUGUAUAUUACAUUGAAAAUUUAUACCGUUAUGAUACUGCUCACAGGAAACAUGUCACCAAGUGUUAAGAAAGACGAGUUAUAUAAUACGUAAUUAACUAAUCACUGAACCCAAAGCAUGCGCCAACAAUGUCCUAAUUUGCCUCAACGACUUGUUUAUUAAGGCAAAGCCGGCCAGGGUCUUUUGAGAAAGCUUCAGCCAAGAUGCUGGAAGAGAGUGCUAGAGAGUGUUAAAGUGUAAUUUCCUUUACAAUAUGUUUGAACUGACACUUUGAAUGUCUUGAAAUUAAUACCAAUUUUUUUUGGGAUACUGCAUGUUAUAAUCAUUCUCAGGUGUGGACGCCGUAUUUUUUUUAAUACGGAUACACUUUUAUACUGUGUUGUUUAAAAGAUUUAGUUUUUAAAUGAACUGUAAAAUCGUAGGGCUUAAGUGAGUUAAAAGUUAAUUUUCUUAAAUUCUACGGUUUUAAAGUAUAUUCGCAUGAAAAUAAAAUAAGGAUGUCCACACUAUAAAAAGACUACUGCAUGUUAUAAGAAAGGUUAAAAAAAUUUUAUGAAUCAAUUUGUGGGUUGCAUGAACAGACUUCGUACUCAACUGUCAUUAUUCUUUGGACCUACAUUCUGGUUUCUCUCCUUUUUUUGUUUAAAUAAAGAAUCAAAUCUCUUUAUCUCGGCUUACUGUUGCAAGAAAAUUAAAAAGUACAAACCAAGAGAACGAAUACAAUACAACAUAAUCUGUUCCCCAACCCUCGAGGUAAUUAAUGGAAAGUGGGCAACAAUGUAUUUGACAGCAUUUCAAUAGAAGGAUGAUAUUCUGGUUUAUUUUCAAGGAUAGAUUGUGUUCGAGUAACAAUGUUUUAGAUGAUAUAUCACCAGCUGGCCUUUUGUAUCGUAGUCAUCUAAUGGACCCCCGUUCCUUGACCUGAUCCUGUUCACAAGUACGACAAUGACUAACCGACCGUCUGUCAAAUGCUUGAAAGAAUUUGACGCGGGAUUGAGCCCCAAGGACUGUGGUGGUGGAAUCGGCAGAAGCAAAAGUACAACCUAAACCCGUAUCUACAUAGAUAUGUGCGAGUACCGGAUAAUCAUGAUCGCAAUUCAAGAUCAAGUGGGUAUGCAUGCAGGCACCGAACCCCAUUUGGAAUUUGGGGCCAUGUCAUAUAAUCUGUCUGCAAAUGAGAAACAGCCAAAUUUGCCUCUCUUUCAAUUCAUGGCACAGCCAGCUGUUGACAACUUUGCACUCUCAGAAACGGCAAACAUGAAACAACCAUCCAAACGCACCCUCUUCUUCACUCUUCUUUUGUCCAUUUCUAUACUCCAAUCCCCUAUAUAAUAUUACAUUACAUCCAUGCAAAACUAGUAAUAAUUUAUGCACUAUUCAGUAUAGCGAGCUCCAGAUCCCAAAAUCCUGAAAGAUAUGGGUUCUGAUUCGUUUGGGGUGAUGAUGUGUACUUUUGUUGGGCGUUUAGCUGCUGUUUCUGCUGGUAAUUUCAAUGAGGAAUUUGAUAUCACAUGGGGAGAUGGUCAUGGGAAAAUAUUCAACAACGGCCAACUGCUUACUCUCAAUCUCGACCAUUACUCUGGCUCAGGCUUCCAGUCCAAGAAACAAUACUUAUUCGGCAAGAUUGAUAUGCAACUCAAGCUUGUCCCUCGCAACUCUGCUGGCACUGUCACUGCUUAUUAUGUACGCUUUUCUUUUUAUCAACACCUGCUGUUUUCAUUGAUUUCUUUGUAAUGAUGCUAAUUAAUAUUAAUUAUGAGAGUCUUUGAUGUUGUAGCUACGCUCACAAGGACCAACAUGGGAUGAGAUAGACUUUGUAUUCUUGGGAAACCUCAGUGGUCAUCCGUACACAGUUCACACAAAUGUGUACAGCCAAGGCAAGGGUGACAGAGAGCAGCAAUUUCAUCUCUGGUUUGACCCCACAGUCAACUUUCACACUUAUUCAGUUCUCUGGAAUCCUCAACGCAUUGUGUAAAGUCCAUUUCUCUCUUAUUAGUAUGUCAUUCGCUUCUACAAUUUUAUUGACUUGUGUUGUUCAAUUAAUUGCAUUAUUUCAGCUUCUCUGUUGAUGGUAUUCCAAUUAGAGAGUUCAGAAACCUGGAGGCUAUAGGCGUUCCAUUACCAAAGAAUCAGCCAAUGAGAAUAUACUCAUCUCUUUGGAAUGCUGAUGACUGGGCUACAAGAGGUGGGCUAAUCAAGACGGAUUGGAGCCAAGCUCCUUUCACUGCUUCUUACAGAAAUUUCAAGGUUGAUGGUAGCCGUGCCUGGCUCUUGCAACAAAUGGAUUCCACAAACCAACGGAGGCUUUACUGGGUGCGGAAGAAUCACAUGAUUUACAAUUACUGCACUGACACCAAGCGAUUUCCCCAGGGCUUUCCCAAAGAAUGCGCUGUCCAUUAAAGCUGGCUGUUCCAAAAACUUUAGCGCCUAGGUACAGGAGCUGUCUUGUAUAACAUAACAUUAAAUGAUAAAAUGUAAGCUAAUUAGUAGUGAGGGAUGCCUUUAGCACUAUCCGAAUUAGGUAGUCGGCUGGUUUUGUAUUUUGAAUAGCUAUUUAUUAACAUAAUAAUAAUAUUUAUUUUAAGAUUCUAAUUUUUUAAAGUUGCGUAUAUAUUGAAGGAAAAUUUAAUUUUUAGGAAUCUCCCUAUUAUUAUUCUCAUUCAUAAUUAUCUCUAUAUUUAAUAAUCUUUACUUUAAAAAUAAUUUUUUUUAUAAAAAUGUGAUAUUUAUGGUAUAAUAAUUAUUCUAAGCCUUUGAAACUUUAUUUGGUUAAUAAUUACAAGAAAAAAAUUCAACGUUUUCCCUUUCCCAAAAAUAACUACUCUAUUAAAAUUAUAAAUGUUAGAUUUUAAAACAUCUAGUAUUCUAUUCAUUCUAUUUCAAACUUCAAAACUAAUAGAUAUUGAAUCAAUGAUACUCACCCAAAAAAAAUUUCUCUCAUAUCUACUCGGAAUAUUAUUCUAAUCUUCCCUAUAAACUUCAUUGCCAGCAUCUAACAUUUGACUAUCAUAUUCAUCUCAACUAAUCAACCUUUUACGUGCUAUCGUUCUAAUUUUCUAUUUUAAUUUAUUAUUAUUAUUUUUUAAAUUUAUUAUAUUUUUUUAUUUGUUGCAUUAAUAUAUGACUUGAAUCAGUUAUGAAGUUUGUGAUUUGUAUAGCAUAAAUGUUGAUAAUUGACAAAUUUAACAAACAUGGUGAGCUUAGUUAAUGUUCUUUUAGAAAUAAAUAUAUAUCUUUUCAUUUAUUAUUAUUAUCUGCUGUACCGUACAUCUCUGGUUUGACCCCACAGUCAACUUUCACACUUAUUCAGUUCUCUGGAAUCCUCAACGCAUUGUGUAAAGUCCAUUUCUCUCUUAUUAGUAUGUCAUUCGCUUCUACAAUUUUAUUGACUUGUGUUGUUCAAUUAAUUGCAUUAUUUCAGCUUCUCUGUUGAUGGUAUUCCAAUUAGAGAGUUCAGAAACCUGGAGGCUAUAGGCGUUCCAUUACCAAAGAAUCAGCCAAUGAGAAUAUACUCAUCUCUUUGGAAUGCUGAUGACUGGGCUACAAGAGGUGGGCUAAUCAAGACGGAUUGGAGCCAAGCUCCUUUCACUGCUUCUUACAGAAAUUUCAAGGUUGAUGGUAGCCGUGCCUGGCUCUUGCAACAAAUGGAUUCCACAAACCAACGGAGGCUUUACUGGGUGCGGAAGAAUCACAUGAUUUACAAUUACUGCACUGACACCAAGCGAUUUCCCCAGGGCUUUCCCAAAGAAUGCGCUGUCCAUUAAAGCUGGCUGUUCCAAAAACUUUAGCGCCUAGGUACAGGAGCUGUCUUGUAUAACAUAACAUUAAAUGAUAAAAUGUAAGCUAAUUAGUAGUGAGGGAUGCCUUUAGCACUAUCCGAAUUAGGUAGUCGGCUGGUUUUGUAUUUUGAAUAGCUAUUUAUUAACAUAAUAAUAAUAUUUAUUUUAAGAUUCUAAUUUUUUAAAGUUGCGUAUAUAUUGAAGGAAAAUUUAAUUUUUAGGAAUCUCCCUAUUAUUAUUCUCAUUCAUAAUUAUCUCUAUAUUUAAUAAUCUUUACUUUAAAAAUAAUUUUUUUUAUAAAAAUGUGAUAUUUAUGGUAUAAUAAUUAUUCUAAGCCUUUGAAACUUUAUUUGGUUAAUAAUUACAAGAAAAAAAUUCAACGUUUUCCCUUUCCCAAAAAUAACUACUCUAUUAAAAUUAUAAAUGUUAGAUUUUAAAACAUCUAGUAUUCUAUUCAUUCUAUUUCAAACUUCAAAACUAAUAGAUAUUGAAUCAAUGAUACUCACCCAAAAAAAAUUUCUCUCAUAUCUACUCGGAAUAUUAUUCUAAUCUUCCCUAUAAACUUCAUUGCCAGCAUCUAACAUUUGACUAUCAUAUUCAUCUCAACUAAUCAACCUUUUACGUGCUAUCGUUCUAAUUUUCUAUUUUAAUUUAUUAUUAUUAUUUUUUAAAUUUAUUAUAUUUUUUUAUUUGUUGCAUUAAUAUAUGACUUGAAUCAGUUAUGAAGUUUGUGAUUUGUAUAGCAUAAAUGUUGAUAAUUGACAAAUUUAACAAACAUGGUGAGCUUAGUUAAUGUUCUUUUAGAAAUAAAUAUAUAUCUUUUCAUUUAUUAUUAUUAUUAUUAUUUGAUCUUUUUGGUAAUUGUUGAAAUUCACCAAAAAUGUAAAAUCUGGGGACGUCGGACGUCCAUACUGUAUGUUCUAUUUACAUCCAAGUCCCUUUAUGUUAUUAUUAUUAUUAUUUGAUUGAGAAAACCAAAGGUUGCAAUUAUUAGGUGUAUUAACCGUUCACGCCCCCAAUCAAGAAGAUGCUCAAUCCCAAAAUGCCAUAAAGCUUGGAUCCUAAAUUUGUGAACAUGCAUGAAUACUACAUGAAAGAAUCAAAGAUGAAUAUAAGAAUUAAAUAACUGGAUACAAUUGUGAUUGUAUUUGUUCUUGAUUUAUCUUUUUAUUGUCAUGUUACUGUUGGGUGUACUAUUUUAACAGGACAUUAAAAAAAAAAUCUCGGAGUGGGUGUCGGUGAAUUUUAAUCGUUUGCUUGCAAGAUGUUUGAUAAAAGUCCCAAAUGAGAGAAGUCGUUUUAAUGGCAAUAGAAUAUUUUGCUAGUCCUUACCCGUUAAGUCAGUCAAAAAUUUAGAGUACCAUUGCAUAUGUGAAGAGGUUUGGUCGUUUCUACGUUAAAACCUAGCCAAAGAAGAACAUAUAGCAAGCAUGCGAAGAGUAGAGAACAUAAUCUCAUGAUAUUUAUAUGCUAAAUUUUGUAUUACAUUGAGAAAGUUGGACUAAUUUGCCAUUUUAUUGACGACAAAAUACAACAAAGAAUCAAAGAAUUGACAAAAAGAAUAAAUUUUUUUGAUGUAUGUGUUGAUUUUGCAAAACUUCUAAGAGGUUCUGCAUUCUGCAGGGAGUCCCUGGGGAAAUCUCUUUGCAUCAGCGCAAUAAUUGUAAAUCAUGUAAUUCUUCUGCACCCAUUUCAGCCUUUCUUGACUUGUUGAAUCAAGCUCUUGUGAGAACCAGGCACUGCUGCUGGAUGGAGAGGAAGGUGAACUUGAAGCGCAAGAAGAUUUUCCAUUAGACCAGACACAGGCAUCAGCGUUGAAGUUUCUGUAGGAAGCCGUGAAGGGAGCAUGCGUCCAAUCUGUCUUGACAAGGCCACCUCUUGUAGCCCAGUCAUCAGCAUUCCAGAGAGAUGAGUAUAUUCUCAUUGGCUGAUUCUUUGGGAAUGCAACUCCAAUUGACUCUGAGUUCUUGAACUCUCUUAUGGGAGUACCAUCCACAGAGAAGCUGAAAAUUAAGUAAACAUUGAUAAGUCUAAGCAGAUUGAAUGACAAGGAAAGAAGAAAUGAUGGAGAUUGAAGGAAAAUAUUGCUUACACAAUGCGCUGAGGAUUCCAGAGGAUAGAAUAGGUGUGAAAGUCAGCAGUGGGGUCAAACCAGAGGUGAAAUUGUUGUUCUUUGUCACCUUUGCCAUUUGUGAAUACAUUGGUAUGCAGAGUGUAAGGGUCACCACUUAAAUUCCCCAAGAACUCGAAGUCUAUCUCAUCCCAUGUUGAUCCUGGCGAUUUUAACUGCGUGAACAAAAAGUCAAAGGUCUAUAUGUCAGAUACAUGAUGAUCAAACAUGCAUAUUGUUUAUUCAUAUAAAGGCAGGAACUUACAUAAUAAGCAGUGACAGUGCCGGCAGAGUUGCCAGGGACUAGUUUGAGUUGCAUAUCAAUCUUGCCGAAUAGAUACUCAUUCUUGGACUGGAAGCCGGAGCCAGAGGCUUUAUCAAGGGAAAGAGUAAGAAGCUGGCCGUUGUUGAGUAUAUUAGCACGCCCGUCUCCCCAAGUGAUAUCAAAAUCUUGGUGGAAGUUACCAGCAGAGGCAACCAUCAAAGAGCCAAGAAGCAGCAGCGACAGAUGCAAUACUGAAGCCAUGGAAGCUUUCGUCUGAGCAACAACAAGAUAGAAGAAUUUGAGUUGGAGAGAAGUUUGAAAUUUUUGAAAGUGAAGCGAUGAGUGUGUUUGGGAUCUCACCAGGGUUUGGUAUUUAUAGCUUGAUUGAGCUGGUGAAGGUGAGUAUAACGAAAGCAGAGGAAAGUAAUGGGAAGCUCCAGUUAGUUCAGCUUCAGCUGUGGCCAGUUGUUUGCGUAAAAUAGCGUGAUGAAAUAAAAACAGCUGUCCGAAUCGCACUAACAGAACACGCUACAACAGGGACUUUUUUUUUUAUUACAAUACGCGGCUUUGCAUUACUUUUGAGACUCAAGUACUUAUUAUGUACUGCUGUUCUGUUCCCACCACCGGCUGACUCUUAUUAGAUUUUUUUUUUUUUCCAACCACCGCCAGUCAAAACACAAAAAAGAAAAUGUAGAAUUCACUGGGUGCUCUUCUCUCUCGAGAUUUUUUUUUUCCAUUUUAUGCUCAAAAGAAAAAGAAAAAAAAUUGUUCAAUGACGUACUUAAUUAACAGAUUUUUUUUUAUAACUAUAUUUAUUAUCAGGAAAUCAUUUGGUUCAAAAGCUUAAGACGUUAAACAGGAGUCCAGAAAAUAGCAUUAAAGUGUUGAAAGACCUGCCCGUGUGAAACAUGGAUCCAGUUUGAAGGUCAUGUCGUUCCAAAAGCGGAGAUAGGAGAUUGAAUUAGAGGUUCUUGAACAUACAAGAAUUGAAACAUAUACGUGUGUUAUUCGCAAAAAAUUGAGCACGCUGAGAUUUGAACAAGAAACCUUUGCUAUGUAAAAACGAAAAUGGCUUGACCCAAGAAAAUUAAAGACAAGUCUUUACUGGAGUCCCUAACAUGAAACAUGGAUCUAACAUCUAAGAAAUAUGUAUCCCUAUAUUUCCGAUACAGAUGCUUCCUAGUAACAUGAAACUGUGAAUUUGUAUCCUAAUUUUAGGUUAAUUGAUAACACAUACUUCCUGGUGAUUUCCUGUGUAAUAAAACGCAUAUGGAAUUGGAAGAUAUGCUUAUUAUUAUUAUUAAGGAAUUUAUAGAUAUUGGUAUUUAAAUCGAACGGACUGAAGAUUUUGCUGUUUUGUAUACUACCACUUAUACUAGAGAAUGUUUUAUUUGUUUAACUGGAAAGGCGGUGGUGGCAUGGCGAGGUUGGCUCGCCUUGAAAUAUCAACACUCGAGAGCUGGCUCGCACCUUGUCCUCCUAUCAAUCUCUCAUUGUUAAUUAACAAGCACAUUCCUCAUCCAAUAACGGUAUGCAUCACUCUUCCUCAUCGACUUGUGUAAGUUCACUCGGUUAGUUUUUUUAAUUUUAUUUUUGCCAUUUUACCCUUUUACUGCCUUAUCAAAUACUAAUCAAUGGCCAAAAUUUCUCCUCGAUUGACACAAAUACGGUAACGCCCACGCGCAGUACAUUUUCUUCUCAUUCUGGUGGAGACUCAUUUGCUCUUUUAUCUUCAUGCUUCCUCGAUAAUUCUUCAUAUUCCAAUCUAGGGUCUAAAAGCUUUAUUAAUGAGUCAUCAUGUCAAUACCUUUAAUUAGGCUUAUAACUAUAUGCUAAAGCUUACGAAGAAUAACAACAAAGAAGAACAAAAUCUUUUGAAAUAGUAAUAUUAUGUUUACUUAGUUAGCAUACUUAAUUUGUAUACCACGCAAGUACGCAUAACAUUAUCCUUUUUUAAAUUCAUUAACCAGUGUUACAUAUGGUAAAAAUUGGACUAACAUGCCAUUUUAUUGAUUACAGAGAAACAAAGAAUCUGACUCCAGAAUCUACAUGAAUUGAAUAACCAUUGAAUGAUUACACGAAAGAAUAAAAUAAUUUUUAAGUGUCUUGUUGAUUAUUUUCUCUAGGAGAUUCUGCAUUCUGCAGGAAGGCCCUGAGGAAAUCUCUUUGUAUCAGUGCAGUAAUUGUAAAUCAUGUAAUUCUUCUGCACCCAUUUCAGCCUACUUUGAUUUGUUGAAUCUAGCUCUUGUGAGAACCAAGCACCGUUGCUGGAUGUAGAGGAAGCAGAAUUUGAAGCGCAAGAAGAUUUUCCAUUAGACCAAACACAAGCUUCAGCAUUAAAGUUUCUGUAGGAAGCAGUGAAAGGAGCAUGCGUCCAAUCUGUCUUCACGAGGCCACCUCUUGUGGCCCAGUCAUCAGCAUUCCAAAGAGAAGAGUAUAUUCUCAUUGGCUGAUUCUUUGGGAAUGGAACGCCAAUUGACUCUGAGUUCUUAAAUUCUCUUAUUGGGGUGCCAUCAACAGAGAAGCUGAAAAUUAAGUAAACAUUGAUAAGUCUAAGCAGAUUGAACGACAAGGAAAAAACAAACGAUGGAGAUUGAAGGAAAAUAUUGCUUACAUAAUGCGCUGAGGAUUCCAGAGGAUAGAAUAGGUGUGAAAGUCAGCAGUGGGGUCAAACCAGAGGUGAAAUUGUUGCUCUCUGUCACCUUUGCCAUUUGUAAAUACAUUGGUAUGAAGAGUGUAAGGGUCACCACUUGAAUUUCCCAGGAAUUCAAAGUCUAUCUCAUCCCAUGUUGAUCCCGGUGAUUUUAGCUGCAUUAGAAAAAAAAAAAAGAAGAUAUUUAUAUGUAUCAUCACAUAUGAUUAUUCAACUACGAGCCCUUUUGCAAACAUAAUACUUGCGUAUGAUUAAGUUGUAUUAAAAGGAGGAACUUAC